rnacentral:rRNA from 1 species
GGUUAAGCGACUAAGCGUACACGGUGGAUGCCCUGGCAGUCAGAGGCGAUGAAGGACGUGCUAAUCUGCGAUAAGCGUCGGUAAGGUGAUAUGAACCGUUAUAACCGGCGAUUUCCGAAUGGGGAAACCCAGUGUGUUUCGACACACUAUCAUUAACUGAAUCCAUAGGUUAAUGAGGCGAACCGGGGGAACUGAAACAUCUAAGUACCCCGAGGAAAAGAAAUCAACCGAGAUUCCCCCAGUAGCGGCGAGCGAACGGGGAGGAGCCCAGAGCCUGAAUCAGUGUGUGUGUUAGUGGAAGCGUCUGGAAAGGCGCGCGAUACAGGGUGACAGCCCCGUACACAAAAAUGCACAUGCUGUGAGCUCGAUGAGUAGGGCGGGACACGUGGUAUCCUGUCUGAAUAUGGGGGGACCAUCCUCCAAGGCUAAAUACUCCUGACUGACCGAUAGUGAACCAGUACCGUGAGGGAAAGGCGAAAAGAACCCCGGCGAGGGGAGUGAAAAAGAACCUGAAACCGUGUACGUACAAGCAGUGGGAGCACGCUUCGGCGUGUGACUGCGUACCUUUUGUAUAAUGGGUCAGCGACUUAUAUUCUGUAGCAAGGUUAACCGAAUAGGGGAGCCGAAGGGAAACCGAGUCUUAACUGGGCGUUAAGUUGCAGGGUAUAGACCCGAAACCCGGUGAUCUAGCCAUGGGCAGGUUGAAGGUUGGGUAACACUAACUGGAGGACCGAACCGACUAAUGUUGAAAAAUUAGCGGAUGACUUGUGGCUGGGGGUGAAAGGCCAAUCAAACCGGGAGAUAGCUGGUUCUCCCCGAAAGCUAUUUAGGUAGCGCCUCGUGAACUCAUCUCCGGGGGUAGAGCACUGUUUCGGCAAGGGGGUCAUCCCGACUUACCAACCCGAUGCAAACUGCGAAUACCGGAGAAUGUUAUCACGGGAGACACACGGCGGGUGCUAACGUCCGUCGUGAAGAGGGAAACAACCCAGACCGCCAGCUAAGGUCCCAAAGUCAUGGUUAAGUGGGAAACGAUGUGGGAAGGCCCAGACAGCCAGGAUGUUGGCUUAGAAGCAGCCAUCAUUUAAAGAAAGCGUAAUAGCUCACUGGUCGAGUCGGCCUGCGCGGAAGAUGUAACGGGGCUAAACCAUGCACCGAAGCUGCGGCAGCGACACUGUGUGUUGUUGGGUAGGGGAGCGUUCUGUAAGCCUGUGAAGGUGUACUGUGAGGUAUGCUGGAGGUAUCAGAAGUGCGAAUGCUGACAUAAGUAACGAUAAAGCGGGUGAAAAGCCCGCUCGCCGGAAGACCAAGGGUUCCUGUCCAACGUUAAUCGGGGCAGGGUGAGUCGACCCCUAAGGCGAGGCCGAAAGGCGUAGUCGAUGGGAAACAGGUUAAUAUUCCUGUACUUGGUGUUACUGCGAAGGGGGGACGGAGAAGGCUAUGUUGGCCGGGCGACGGUUGUCCCGGUUUAAGCGUGUAGGCUGGUUUUCCAGGCAAAUCCGGAAAAUCAAGGCUGAGGCGUGAUGACGAGGCACUACGGUGCUGAAGCAACAAAUGCCCUGCUUCCAGGAAAAGCCUCUAAGCAUCAGGUAACAUCAAAUCGUACCCCAAACCGACACAGGUGGUCAGGUAGAGAAUACCAAGGCGCUUGAGAGAACUCGGGUGAAGGAACUAGGCAAAAUGGUGCCGUAACUUCGGGAGAAGGCACGCUGAUAUGUAGGUGAAGCGACUUGCUCGUGGAGCUGAAAUCAGUCGAAGAUACCAGCUGGCUGCAACUGUUUAUUAAAAACACAGCACUGUGCAAACACGAAAGUGGACGUAUACGGUGUGACGCCUGCCCGGUGCCGGAAGGUUAAUUGAUGGGGUUAGCGCAAGCGAAGCUCUUGAUCGAAGCCCCGGUAAACGGCGGCCGUAACUAUAACGGUCCUAAGGUAGCGAAAUUCCUUGUCGGGUAAGUUCCGACCUGCACGAAUGGCGUAAUGAUGGCCAGGCUGUCUCCACCCGAGACUCAGUGAAAUUGAACUCGCUGUGAAGAUGCAGUGUACCCGCGGCAAGACGGAAAGACCCCGUGAACCUUUACUAUAGCUUGACACUGAACAUUGAGCCUUGAUGUGUAGGAUAGGUGGGAGGCUUUGAAGUGUGGACGCCAGUCUGCAUGGAGCCGACCUUGAAAUACCACCCUUUAAUGUUUGAUGUUCUAACGUUGACCCGUAAUCCGGGUUGCGGACAGUGUCUGGUGGGUAGUUUGACUGGGGCGGUCUCCUCCUAAAGAGUAACGGAGGAGCACGAAGGUUGGCUAAUCCUGGUCGGACAUCAGGAGGUUAGUGCAAUGGCAUAAGCCAGCUUGACUGCGAGCGUGACGGCGCGAGCAGGUGCGAAAGCAGGUCAUAGUGAUCCGGUGGUUCUGAAUGGAAGGGCCAUCGCUCAACGGAUAAAAGGUACUCCGGGGAUAACAGGCUGAUACCGCCCAAGAGUUCAUAUCGACGGCGGUGUUUGGCACCUCGAUGUCGGCUCAUCACAUCCUGGGGCUGAAGUAGGUCCCAAGGGUAUGGCUGUUCGCCAUUUAAAGUGGUACGCGAGCUGGGUUUAGAACGUCGUGAGACAGUUCGGUCCCUAUCUGCCGUGGGCGCUGGAGAACUGAGGGGGGCUGCUCCUAGUACGAGAGGACCGGAGUGGACGCAUCACUGGUGUUCGGGUUGUCAUGCCAAUGGCACUGCCCGGUAGCUAAAUGCGGAAGAGAUAAGUGCUGAAAGCAUCUAAGCACGAAACUUGCCCCGAGAUGAGUUCUCCCUGACUCCUUGAGAGUCCUGAAGGAACGUUGAAGACGACGACGUUGAUAGGCCGGGUGUGUAAGCGCAGCGAUGCGUUGAGCUAACCGGUACUAAUGAACCGUGAGGCUUAACCUU